rnacentral:rRNA from 1 species
GUAGGUUGGCAAGCGUUGUCCGGAAUUAUUGGGCGUAAAGCGCGCGCAGGCGGUUCUUUAAGUCUGAUGUGAAAGCCCACGGGCUCAACCGUGGAGGGUCAUUGGAAACUGGAGAACUUGAGUACAGAAGAGGAAAGCGGAAUUCCACGUGUAGCGGUGAAAUGCGUAGAGAUGUGGAGGAACACCAGUGGCGAAGGCGGCUUUCUGGUCUGUAACUGACGCUGAGGCGCGAAAGCGUGGGGAGCAAACAGGAUUAGAUACCCUGGUAGUCCACGCCGUAAACGAUGAGUGCUAAGUGUUAGGGGGUUUCCGCCCCUUAGUGCUGCAGCUAACGCAUUAAGCACUCCGCCUGGGGAGUACGGCCGCAAGGCUG